rnacentral:snoRNA from 1 species
AGCCUCUUGGUGCCAACCCCAGGCUUAUACUGCGGGGUAGGAAGAGGAGGCACAGUGAGGCCACCCUACGGACCCCUCAGCCUUGGCCGCUGUGGCUGGCCCGCAUUGGGAAUGGGGAGACGUGG